rnacentral:lncRNA from 1 species
CAGGACUCAGGACAAUCUCCAGCAUGGCCAGCUUCCCUCUCCUCCUCACCCUCCUCACUCACUGUGCAGGGUCCUGGGCCCAGUCUGUGCUGACUCAGCCACCCUCAGCGUCUGGGACCCCCGGGCAGAGGGUCACCAUCUCUUGUUCUGGAAGCAGCUCCAACAUCGGAAGUAAUACUGUAAACUGGUACCAGCAGCUCCCAGGAACGGCCCCCAAACUCCUCAUCUAUAGUAAUAAUCAGCGGCCCUCAGGGGUCCCUGACCGAUUCUCUGGCUCCAAGUCUGGCACCUCAGCCUCCCUGGCCAUCAGUGGGCUCCAGUCUGAGGAUGAGGCUGAUUAUUACUGUGCAGCAUGGGAUGACAGCCUGAAUGAAACUCUUCCCAAAUUAAAGCUUUCUUUGAAGUCAGCCCAAGGCUGCCCCCUCGGUCACUCUGUUCCCGCCCUCCUCUGAGGAGCUUCAAGCCAACAAGGCCACACUGGUGUGUCUCAUAAGUGACUUCUACCCGGGAGCCGUGACAGUGGCCUGGAAGGCAGAUAGCAGCCCCGUCAAGGCGGGAGUGGAGACCACCACACCCUCCAAACAAAGCAACAACAAGUACGCGGCCAGCAGCUAUCUGAGCCUGACGCCUGAGCAGUGGAAGUCCCACAGAAGCUACAGCUGCCAGGUCACGCAUGAAGGGAGCACCGUGGAGAAGACAGUGGCCCCUACAGAAUGUUCAUAGGUUCUCAACCCUCACCCCCCACCACGGGAGACUAGAGCUGCAGGAUCCCAGGGGAGGGGUCUCUCCUCCCACCCCAAGGCAUCAAGCCCUUCUCCCUGCACUCAAUAAACCCUCAAUAAAUAUUCUCAUUGUCAAUC